UACGAGGGGGGCUAGCGUUGCUCGGAAUGACUGGGCGUAAAGGGCGCGUAGGCUGUUCGCAUCGUCAGGCGUGAAAUUCCCGGGCUCAACCUGGGGGCUGCGUUUGAUACAUGCGGGCUUGAGUGUGGAAGAGGGUCGUGGAAUUCCCAGUGUAGAGGUGAAAUUCGUAGAUAUUGGGAAGAACACCGGUGGCGAAGGCGGCGACCUGGUCCAUUACUGACGCUGAGGCGCGAAAGCGUGGCGAG
rnacentral:rRNA from 1 species